UUUGGGACAAGAAGACCCUAUGAAUUUUUAUAAACUUUAAUAUUUAAUUAAAUAUUAAAGUUUAUUUAAUUGGGGCGAUUGAGAAAGAUAAAAAACUUUUUUUAUUUAAAGAGAUCCAUUAUUAAUGAUUUUAUGUAAAAAAUACUCUAGGGAUAACAGCGUAAUAAUUUUAGAUAGAUCUUAUAGAAAAAAUAGUUUGCGACCUCGAUGUUGG
rnacentral:rRNA from 1 species